AAAGCUCCACGGGGCUCCGGCAGGGGAUGGUGGCGAACCCUGCUGUACUCUUUCACCACAACUUUCUCUCACUCUUACUUCCUGUUUCUGUUGUGCCUGUAAUUCAAAGGGUCAGCCUUGUCACACUGUGUCACGCUGAAUAUCCCCGAGAACCACGUUAAGGGUACACGUGUCUGUGGAGUGCUCAGCCACUUGCACGUUAAUUUCACGAGCGGGCUGUUCCAUUGAUCGGAUCAACUGGAACCCUCGACGUCGUAAGCAACGGAAUGCCAACAACAGUUAAUCACUCACACACAGUAUUGAAAAGCCAAUCUCAGAUGAGGGAAAAAAUCUAUUUUCGAGGAAUCGUUUACGUCUUUGAAAGGAAAAGUGCCUGAAAACUAGAAAAUUGGUAUGUGAGGCCCAUAAAUAAAAUACCAAUGAGACAGGCCGAAAUAUUCGAAGAAUUUGACAAAAAAAAGGAAAAAAAAA